rnacentral:ncRNA from 1 species
AUAUCGGCAUAGAGAAGAUAAGUAAUUAGCCAAAUUUUAAGAGAGCCGGAGGUCGCUGAAAUCCGGUAAUGACAGCUAAUGAAUCAUGGUCUUUGAGCUUUGUUCUUGCGAGUGGUUUACCGCGAGUAGGAAUCGGUUGCGUCCGUUAUCACGUCAGACUAUAAUCGCAGGUUCAUCUACCUUGCGACGUAGCCACAGAGGGUAUGCAGGUGACUGUAUACUGAACACGAGUGGUAAAGCGCUUAUUCGCCCCGUAA